rnacentral:lncRNA from 1 species
AAAUCCUACCUGUCUUCACACACUUACACACUAAAACUCCCACAGAAAGGGGGAAAAUUAGAAAAGGGGUGAUAUAAUUUGACUCUGUGUCACCACCCAAAUCUCAUCUUGAAUUGUAAUCCCCGUAAUUUCUCACCUGGCAAGAGUGGGACCAGGUGGAGACAAUUGGAUCAUGGGGGCAGUUUUCCCCAUGCUCUUCUCGUGAUAAUGAUUGAGUCUCAUGGGAUCUGAUGAUUCUAUAAGUGUCUGGCUUUUCUCCUACUUGCACUCACUCCAUCCUGCCACCCUGCGAGGAAGGUGCCUGCUUCUUCUUUGCCUUCCGCCGUGAGUGUGAGUCUCCUGAGGCCUCCCCAGCAAUGUGGAACUGAUACGUCAUGGAACAGAGGGCAACCUGCCUCCUGGAAAUGUGGAGUGUCUAGGGAGUCACAGCUGAGAUCUUCCUUGGAUUAAAGGCUGCGGGUGUCACAAACAGACCUGAUUGAAAAUUCUUGAUCUGGCCACAUACCCUGUUUACAUUGAUGCAGAUUCAACUGGGUGAAAUAACUGUGAACUGGGCAUGUGAAGAGAAAGCUGAAAGCCAUGAUCUCAAGAUGGAAACUUCAGUAUCCAGCAAAGAAUGAUACGGUUUGGCUGUGUCCCCACCUAAAUCUCACCUUGAGUUCCUAUGUGCUGUGAAAGGGACCUGAUGGGAGGUAACUGAAUCAUGGGGGCAGGUCUUUCCUGUGCUCAUGAUAGUGAGUAAGUCUCAAGAAAUCUGAUGGUUUUUACAAGGGGGAAUUUUCCUGCACAAGCUCUCUUUGCCUGCUGCCACCCAUGUAAGACGUGACUUGCUGCUCAUUGCCUUCUGCCGUGAUUGUGAAGCUUCCCCAGCAACGUGGAACAGUAAGUCCAAUAAACUUCUUUCUUUUGUAAAUUGCCCAGUCUCUGGUAUGUCUUUAUUAGCAGUGUGAAAACGGACUAAUACACAGAAUAAAAGUAACUUCAACAUGUUUCAUUUUCUCUUGGAAAAGUGCUAUGCUUAAAAAGAUUGUUGCCAAAUUUAUCUUUCAAAAUACAAGUCAGAUGUUUUAAUUACUGUCUUCAGAUGAUUUCAGUGAGUCCUCAAUAUUAAAAUAAUAAAGCAAAACUUCUUUAAAUCUUUCAA